rnacentral:lncRNA from 1 species
GGGGGCACAGGAACAGAAUUGCUCUAUGUGUGUUAACAUUUGCUACCAGUGUGGACAAAAUAUCUAGCUUCUUUUCAUUUGGACUCAUGCAGAUGUUUAGACUGUGUAGACCCAACCUCAGUGUAUGAAGGCAGAAGACACAGGGCCUGUUGGAAGAGUCCUUCUCCCCACAGAGUGUCUGGUUAUAACUGCAUCCCCAAAGCCCCCCACCCCACCCCCCGCCCAACCUGGACUCCACCAUUCAUUCCUCUUACUUUGUUUUCUAUUGAAAGCACCCUGUCAUCUUUCACGUUUCCACUAAGGAAACAGCAACCACGGAAGAGAAAAAAAAUCAAGAUCCCAUUUGCCUUGAUGGAUUCAUUUCGAUACAACUUCACUCAAGAGCUAGCCGCUUCCUGAUUUCACAUUUCACCAUCAAAGGCAAGAGCCAGGGCAGGGUUGGGGGAGCAAUCUUUCAGCAACAUACCGGGCUGAGCAACAGCUUUUCACCUGGAGAAGCGGCUCUGGGGUCGCAGCUUUGAAUCCCAUCAGCCCAUCCCAGGAGCCGACAGAGGAGGGACAUUCUGAAAUAUCCCCCGCCUGUCCCAUCCUGCAGAUCCCCACAGCCAACUGUGGCAACAGUGGACAGAACCCGAAGUAGGACAAAGCCAGACCAUCUGUACAGACAAGGAAGGCAGGGCCCAGAGAGGGUGUGGGUGUGACUGUCAUCAUACAGCAAGGCUCGAGCACCAGUUUUCUCACUCUGGCUUAGGGGGAUUAUCCCUGCAGUCUGCACUGCUACAGGUCACUUGAGGUAUAGAUGUUUCCACUUAUUUCCCCAAGAUGGGGAUGAAGGGGGUCACUCCAGGGGCUCAAGUCACCCCACACCAGGAUUGGAACAAGGUGGUAGUCCAUGGGCCUGAUGGGGCAGGGGAUGCACCCUCCACAGAGCAUUGGGACAAAGGCUGUGGACUCCAGGUCCUCACCAGAGGUUUUCAUGAGCAACUCCUUGGUCCUUGAUAGACAAUCCCUGAGGGGCAGUCCACAACUGUGGUGACCAUGCAGUGGCUCCAGUCCAGCCCCGGGGGAAUUGCAAUAAUGAUUCAUUUACUUAUGAGACAAACAGUGGCAGGCUCCAUGGAUACAAUGCUGCAAAAGAUGCAGCCUCUAGACCUUCCUGUUACUUAGUGUAACAUCCUUAGCACCAAACGAAUGCAGUAUCCAUAUGAUGGCUACAAUAGAGCAUCCACUGCGCCACUCAAAACCAUGGAUGUGGGUCAAAGGCAUAAGAAUAUUGAGUGAAAGAAGCCAGGCACCAGAGAAAACCUCUUCUGUGAUUCCAUUUAGAUGAAGCCCAAGAAGAGGUGAAACUAAUCCGUCGUGGUCAGAACGGGGCUUGGCUGGUGCUGGGACGGGAGCUGUGGAUGGGCAGAAACACUAGGGAGCCUUCUGGGGUGAUGGAAUGUUCUAUAUCUUGAGGUCGGCAUUGUGUGUGCAUGUGUGUGUGUGUGUGUGUGUGUGUGUGUGUGUGGUAACUCAGUAAAAGUUUGUUUUUUUUUUUAAAGUCAUUGCCAGUGUCUGUUUACGCAUCUCUCUCACAGCCAACUGAUGAAAAUGCUCAAAGACAGUUUUGCCUGAGCCUGAAUCCUUCCUGUGAAAUAGGAGACGGCACUCUGCCAAGCCAUGUGUGUUUCCUAGUGAUGACAGAGGGCAGCGGUCCUGGUCAACCUGGGGGAACCUGUCGGUGAAAAUGUCCCUUUCCACAGCCCAUGCUUGGAACCCGCAGAGGAGUCGGCCGUUUCACCUUCUGAGCUGGAAAAGAGGAGCAGUGGGGCGACCAGAGCCUCAGGGGGCCCAGAUGGCGCCCCCUGGGAGCAGGGACACAUGGGUCUCAGAUCAAUGAUGGACCAGAGCUGGGCGUGGCGGCCCCCGGAGUCCAGAAUGACCUAGUUUCCAGCGAGCUGAGGCUGAUGCCUCCGAAGCUCUUUCCUCCAGCUCAGUGUGGGAUGGAGGGAGCCCAAAAUAGUAACGCCCUCCCCCACCCACACAGAGACGACAGGUGGCUGGAAAAGGAAGGCGGGAGCGGGGGAGGGGAACGGCUGACAGGUGAAGGGGGGGUGGGCUCCAAGUGGAACUGUCUGGCUGUUCUUUUGUGGCCCCACCGAGGGGCACAGAAAGGCAGGGCAGUGAGCUCACAGGACUCUGCUGCCACCACCCACGUGCCUCCCACGUCCACAGUGAUGACGCCAGCACGUCCCCAGCCUGGACCAGGGCCCAGACUCACACCUGUCACUGCCCACCGCCCCCUCAGCACCCCCAGUGGCAUGUUCCAUGGCAUCUCCAGUGUAACCCGGCCAAGGGCAAACUGCUGAUUGGCUCCACCUCAAGACAGGGCCCCUCCACCCUUCCGGAAGCUCUGGCCAGAAACCCCUGAGUCUCUCACAUCCCACAUUCAGUCCAUCCAGAACCCCUGCUGGCUCCACCUUCAACAGCCAGCCAGUCCCUGAUCACCUCCGCCACAGCCCCCUGGCCUGCGCCACCGUCAUGUCUCACCUCCUGACUUUCUGCCUCGCCCCCUCCAGUGCAUCCUCCAGGCGGCACACGGGCCAGCCUGUGAAAAGGCCCUGGAACCCCUCCAACUUCACAUCCUCCUGCUCUCCUCUGCUCACACGGCUCCCACCACCUUGGCCUUCCUGCCGUCAGACACACCACCCAGCCCUGCCUCAGGGCCUUGGCACGGCCUGGUCCAUCGCCUGGAAAGCCCUUCCCCCAGACAUCUAUCCUCACUGUACGUGGGACCUUCCCUGACCACCCUAUUUAAAAUUGCCUAUCUGGGAGCUCCCAUCGUGGCGCAGUGGAAGAGAAUCUGACUAGUAUCCAUGAAGAUGUGGGUUCGACCCCCGACCUCACUCAGGGAGUUAAGGAACCCUGUUGCCGUGAGCUGUGGUGUAAGUCACAGACAUGGCUCGGAUUCUGCGUGGCUGUGACUGUGGUGUCGGCGGACAGCUGUAGCUCGGAUUUGACCCCUAGUCUGGGAACUUCCAUACGCUGUGGGUGCGGUCCUAAAAAGCAAUAAAUAAAUAAAUAAAGUCAAUGAAGGAAUAAAUAAAUAAAUAUAAAAUUGCUCUUCUUCCCUCUGUUUUAUUCCCCUCCGUAGCAUUUCUCACCAUCGGACACAGUAUGUUUUUACUCAUUUAUUUUGUUUAUUGUCCUUCUCCUCCAAUUAGAAUGUUAGAAGUAUGAGGGCAGGAAGGGUUUGGGGUCUAUUUUGCUCAUUGCUGUUUCCCCAACAGCAAGGGUCUAGCGCAUAGUCGGCACUAAACAAGUUGUUGACAAAAUGAAUGGGUUCGGGCCCGGUGACCCCCCUCUGUGGCCUCAGCCUCGGCAGCAGAGCUCCUCCCCUUCCUCCUGGCCCCUCGGUGCCCACUCUCAGGGCAGAGUCACAGAUGUGCGCUGUGUCUCAGUAGGUCCCUGUGUCACCUCAGGGUGGGGACAAGGGACCCCCUCUUCUGGUCACAUGGCUCUCCCUGCUUCCCCCAUUCAAUCUCCAAGACACCCCUUGUCCCCCACUCCCCUGUCCUGCCUUCUGCAAUUUACAGACAGCGUCACCAUCAAGGUCCCCAUGCAAGCCCUGGGCAAGGUUUCAGCAUCCUUGUCACCCAGACUAAGGCCCAGGGACACACAUCAGAGAGGGAGGAGAACCGCCCCCCCACCCCAUCCUGAUACCAGUCUCAGCCUGAGCUUGGCUUCACCAUGUCUCUACCACCUGAAUCCUCCAGAGCAGCACAGGCAGACCCUCAGGGAUGACUGUGACCGUGCCAGACAGAGGACAGACAAACAAGCAAAGCUCCUGCCCCGGGGAAAGUGCGGGAUCCUGGGGCCUGGAGGAGGAGGAUGCAGAGGGCCUGAGGGGGCUCGAGUGAGCCUGGGAAGACACCAGGGAAUUUCCUUCUCCCUCACCCUGAAGCCGAUACUGAUGGAAACCCAGGAAGCAAUAUCCUUGGUCAUUUAAAUAAAUGCACAUCCCUGCAAGCCCGCAACCCCCCAGCUAGAGAUUUAUUGCAAGGCGAUCAAGGAGAGCAUAUGCACGGUGAUGUCUGGGGCUGUCCACGCCGGUGGUGCUGGCAAGAGGAGAAAAAUGGAAGCCAUCCAAGCGUCCAUCUAUAGGGAAAAGGGAUGAAUAAAUCAUGACUUCCUCGAGGACCAUGAUGGGAGCUACAUCUCCUAAUGCAGAAAGACAACUGUGAUGCGAAGCACAAAAGCACCUGUUGCAAGAGCCCCUUUUGUCUUUGAAAAAAAGGGUGUAUGAAAAAAAUGCAGAAAAAUAAAGAGAAGAGAAUAAAUAUCACCACCAAGAGACAAUGUCAAUUAGUGUGUGACUUUUUGGGGUUUUUUUGUUUUGUUUUGUUUUGUUUUUAUGGCCAUACCUGCGGCAUAGGGAAGUUCCUGGGCUAAGGGGCGAAUCAGCCCUGCAGCUGCCAGCCUGUGCCACAGCCACAGCAACACCGGAACUGAGCCACAUCUGCAACCUACAUUGCAGCUUGUGGCAGCUGGAUCCUCAACCCACUGAGCGAGGCCAGGAAUUGAACCCGUAUCCUCAUGGACACUAUGUUGGGUUCUUAAACCACUGAGCCACAACGGGAACUCCCAGGUGUUUCAUUUUGAUAAGUUUAUUCCUACACUUUUGUCUCCACAAAUAAAUUCUUUUUUACGAAAGUAGGAUCUUUGUGAAAAUCAUGUUUUGACAGCUUUUUCGUAUGACAUUUCUUCAUGGUCAUUUUCCUAUGUCAUUAAGCAUUCUUUUAAAAUGUAAUUUUAAUUGCUUUAUAGAUCUAUAUCAGAAAUUAUAAACCCAUUCUUCUAUUGUUGAACCAAAAACAAAAAAACAAACAGAAAUACAAAAAGUGUGUAUGUUCACACAGGAAAGUGUAUAGAAAGAUGCAUAUCAAAAACAUCAAUAAUAUUAGUUUUGCUUAGUGAGCCUAGAGGUGACCUGGGCUCUUUGUUUGUUUGUUUGGUUGGUUUCUCACCAUGGCAUAUGGAAGUUCCCAGGCUAGGGGUCAAAUCGGAGCUGCAGGUGCCGGCCUACGCCACAACCACAACAAUGCAGGCUCCGAGCGGCAUCCGCGACCUACACCACAGCUCACGGCAACACCGGAUCCUUAACCCACUGAGCAAGGCCAGGGAUCAAACUCGCAACCUCAUGGAUACUAGUCAGAUUUGUUUCUGCCGCACCACAAGGGGAGUUUCUCUGCUCUCAUUUUCUUCUUCUCUGUAUUCUACAAAUAAUUUAACCAUGAGCACAUAUCGAUAUGCUUAGUUAAUCCAACAGAAGGGCCCAUUUUAGAAAAAUGCAUUAAAAAAACCAAAAGCUUCUCUAAGGACCCAGCCUCCAGGCCCAUCUCGGCAGCCAGACCAUCUAAGCUGAGACCCUGGCCCUCUGGCCGGGCCUCUCCUUUCUGUGGCAUCAAGCUUUGUCUGUGUGUGACUAAAGAGGGGGAAACAGAGAAAAGAAGAACCACUUCCUGCAGAGCUGGUGGCGGUGGCAAGAGAGUCUGGGGGAGGAGAGUCGCCCACCGGAGGUGAGAAUGCUGAGUGCAGUUCUGGGGGCUGCCCUGAUUCACCGGCCGGCGCGGCCCUCAGUGAGACCUCAGUUGACUGCAGGCCAACCAGGCCCUAGGAGAGACCUGCCCAGCGGCUCUCUGGGCCCCAUGGGGAUGCUGAGCCGCCCCCUGCCUUAGGGAAUAGGGUCUGAAGCAAGAGUGAGCGUGAGGCCACAGGCAAUGGGACCUCAGAGCCACCCCCAUGUCAGAAUGUCCAGU